rnacentral:rRNA from 1 species
GACGAACGCUGGCGGCGUGCUUAACACAUGCAAGUCGAACGGAAAGGCCCUGCUUUUGUGGGGUGCUCGAGUGGCGAACGGGUGAGUAACACGUGAGUAACCUGCCCUUGACUUUGGGAUAACUUCAGGAAACUGGGGCUAAUACCGGAUAGGAGCUCCUGCUGCAUGGUGGGGGUUGGAAAGUUUCGGCGGUUGGGGAUGGACUCGCGGCUUAUCAGCUUGUUGGUGGGGUAGUGGCUUACCAAGGCUUUGACGGGUAGCCGGCCUGAGAGGGUGACCGGCCACAUUGGGACUGAGAUACGGCACAGACUCCUACGGGAGGCAGCAGUGGGGAAUAUUGCACAAUGGGCGGAAGCCUGAUGCAGCCACGCCGCGUGCGGGAUGACGGCCUUCGGGUUGUAAAACGCUUUCGCCUGUGACGAAGCGUGAGUGACGGUAAUGGGUAAAGAAGCACCGGCUAACUACGUG